GCCUGGGUGGCUGAGUCGGUUAAGCGUCUGACUUCGCCUCAGGUCACGGGUUCGAGCCCCGUGUUGGGCU
rnacentral:tRNA from 1 species